rnacentral:rRNA from 1 species
UACGUAGGAGGCGAGCGUUGUUCGGAAUUACUGGGCGUAAAGAGUGUGUAGGCGGUGUCGUAAGUUUGGCGUGAAAUCUCCCGGCUUAACUGGGAGGGUGCGCCGAAGACUGCGAUGCUUGAGGAUCGGAGAGGAAAGUGGAAUUUCUGGUGUAGCGGUGAAAUGCGUAGAUAUCAGAAGGAACACCUGUGGUGUAGACGGCUUUCUGGACGAUUCCUGACGCUGAGACACGAAAGCGUGGGUAGCAAACAGG